GCCAACUUCCGGGUUGCCCCUCGUCACGUGACAGCGCAGUUUCAGGAUUCCCGCAAAGUCUGAGAGCGGCCCAUCUGCUGCGUGAAGGGAGGAGGUGUAACGACUUAAAAUGGCGUGGGCGUCGUGUAUUAGCCAAUAGUAUUGUGGAGCAGACUAGCGGUGACGUUUCGGGGCCGCCGCUGGGCAACACAGACGUUCAACUCCCCCCAAUGAUUUUCUAUGGGCUUGAGAUCUGGAGAGUGGCGAGGCCACUCCAGGACCUCGAAAUGCUUCUUCCGAAGCCACUCCUUCAUCGCCCGGGCCGUGUGUUUGGGAUCAUAGUCACGCUGAAAGACCCAGCCACGUUUCAUCUUCAAUGCCCUUGCCGACGGAAGGAGGUUUUCGCUCAAAAUCUCACGCUACGCGACCCCAUUCAUUCUUUCCUUUACACGGAUCAGUCGUCCUGGUCCCUUUGCAGAAAAACAGCCCCAAAGCCCGAUGUUUCCACCCCCAUGCUUCACAGUGUUCUUUGGCUGCAACUCAGCUUUCUUUCUCCUCCAAACACCACAAGUUGAGUUUUUACCCAAAAGUUGUAUUUUGGUUUCAUCUGACCACAUGACAUUCUCCCAAUCCUCUUCUGGAUCAUCCAAAUGCUCUCGAGCAAACUUCAGACGAGCCUGGACAUGUACUGGCUUAAGCACUGGCUUAACGAGUGGAGGACAGAGGAGCCUCUUAAAGAAGAAGUUCCAGAUUCUUCCUCUUCCUCGUCUUCGUCCUGCCGUCCGGAGGCUCUCUGUUGCUACGGGGACCAAGCGCAUCAAAUCAAAAAGGCGUCACAGCGCAGACGACCAAGCCGGCCGGGCGGAGUCUACCUGGAAGGCCGCCGACGGCGUCAGGAAGGAGGAGGCGGUCCCGUCCAAAGAGUUGGCGCGCACGAUGUCUAAGCGCGCCGGGUAGUCGGGCGGGCGCAGCGAGCUCCUGAACACCUGACGACGCAUACGCAAUCGGCGUCAUCGCAACAACUACAAAACGUCAUUUGUGACACAAUUGCGAGCGAAUUAACUGAAUCGUUGAAACCAACGAGAAUUGGGGAAAUGUCUCCUUUCAUUUGGGGGAAAUCCUGAUACGGAAUACGGAAUAAUCACAAACUUAUAAUAAUGUGAAUUCUUGGAAUAUCACAAGUAGUAGCCAGA